rnacentral:rRNA from 1 species
AAAACAACCCUACGGGAGGCAGCAGUAGGGAAUCUUCCACAAUGGGCGCAAGCCUGAUGGAGCAACGCCGCGUGAGUGAGGAAGGCUUUCGGGUCGUAAAGCUCUGUUGCCAGGGAAGAAUAAGGAUGAUUUAACUGAUCAUCUGAUGACGGUACCUGAGAAGAAAGCCCCGGCUAACUACGUGCCAGCAGCCGCGGUAAUACGUAGGGGGCAAGCGUUGUCCGGAAUUAUUGGGCGUAAAGCGCGCGCAGGCGGUUCUUUAAGUCUGGUGUAUAAGUGCGGGGCUCAACCCCGUGAGGCACUGGAAACUGGGGAACUUGAGUGCAGAAGAGGAGAGCGG